UAGGACAGAUGAGCUCUGCGAGGACACAGCCCCUUCAGUGUGGCUGGGUUGCCUGCCACUGCCCCCCCCAUUCAAGGCACCAGCUCUGAUGCCGGGUCACCCCACAAACACCUCAGGCCCAGGGGGAUACUCCAGCCAGCUACAAAGAGACCGCGAACUCCGAGACCCCCAGGGUGAGCAGCAGAGCAGUGGGCUGACCCCCGCGGCCCUGGCUGUGUGGCACGGCACAUCUAAGCCUGGAAGGCAGGGUCCAAGAGGCCAGGGGGCACCCUCGGGGGCACAGGCCAGCCCUUCCCCUCUGCAGCCAGAGGGGUGGGGCUGAGCUGAGCCUGAAGAGCCCCCCAGCCAGAUUUAGGGUAAGGCACCCAGCAUCCCACUGACAACACCCUUGUCCUCUCGGGCAGGCAGACCCGACAGGGGGAGAGCCACAGGGCCGACCCCGCGGCACACAGUCUCCCGCACAACCUCCACCUGCCCUGUGGCCUGGAGCUGAGGCCCCUGGGCCCCCCCACGGCUGUGAGCAGGGACUCCGGGCCGCCCACGUGCUCCCAGGCACGGGGACCUCAGUCACCCCGGGAGGCAGGAAGGGGAGGCAGCCGCCACCCUGGCCAAGCCCUGAGUGAGGAAAUCCUUGGGACUUCCAGUAAUCGUGCGCACACGCGGGCAGCUUGUGCAACCCUGUGGGGGCCAGGGCGGGGCUGCCUCCACCCCGAGCCCCUGGCCUGGCUGGAAAGGGGGCCCACAGGGCCAGCUGCUGCAGGGAUGGGUCCAGGCCCUCUGGGACUGCUGCUGGCAGGACGCCACUUCCCACGGGCCUGGACCCUUGGAGGCCAGACCUCCUCCAGCCCCCGCUCCAGUCUCCUGCAGACCUGGCGGCCGACAGAGGCAGGGCUCUCCUGGGUAGAUACACCGCUACUCUGGGAACUGGGGUCAGGCGGAUGGGGUCGAACCUACUCGGCUAACAGCGGGACAGCGUCUGACAACUCGGGACCUUGGCUACUUCGAGCCUUGGUUUGCUCUGGAGGACGGCUUAUUUGGGCUCCGCCCCAGCUGAUGCACGCACACCCAGGAGACACAGGAACACCAGCCACACAAAACCAGGACCCGUGUCUGCGGCCGCACAAGCCCCACAAGCCAGAGGGUGGAAGACCCCAGGUGUCCACCAAUGGUGAGCGGAUGCACCCACGUGUCCACCCACACAAGGAGCAUCGCACAGCCACAAACAGGAGCGGAGCCCUGCCAGGUGCCACACAUGGACGGACCCUGAACACACGGUGCUUGGUGAGACACACUGAGCCACGCGGUUUGACCCCACUUCCGUGACACACCCACAACGGGUGCCUCCAUGGACAGAAUGUGUGCUCACUGGUGCCGGGGGCCAGGGUGGGGGCUGCGCUGGGGUGGUCGGAUGUUCUGCGACUGCACUAGAUGUGAAGGUGAACACACCAAAGACCGCUCACCGGUCACAUAAAGGGUAAGCUGUG